GAGCUGUGGCAUCGUAGUUUUAGAAACUUAGAACAGAGAAUACAUCUAGAAUGUGAUGGCCAUCGAAUACCAUUACCUUCACUACAGGGCAUUGUGGUUUUGAACAUUCUCAGGUAGUUAUGGUGGAGGGUCAAACUUCUGGGGAGGAACAAAAGAUGAUGAUAUGUUCUGUUCUCCUGCCUUUGAUGAUAAAAUACUG